GCCUGCAUACCAGCAUGCUUCCCACCAUGAUGAUACUGGACUAAACCUCUGAACCUUUGAGAACUGCGUGUGAGCAUUGUGCUGCUUCGUUGUUUUGACCCCGUGGCCAUUGUGAAGGUGCUGGUCCCUGCCAUUCACUGGAAACUUCCCACAUCUAACCCCUACCGUUCCUAGACACUUGAAGCAAAAGUGAGCAGUGAAGAAAUGACUGCGUCGUCUCUCCAGGCACACAACUCAAUUCCGCUGUGUCCGGUCAUCACUGCAGAGCUGGGCCACACCCGGAAAGGCUGUGGAGUUAAUCCGCUGACCCAGAACAUCAAGUAGGACAUUGUGCAGCACCUUUCCCUAAGGUGGUUCUCUAAUGACCCUUGGAACUUGACUGCCUUUUGCCGAAAAUAAACUAAAACUGAGCAUUCAUGAUGCUAUAAUUUGUCGCAUGGGACUAUGACCCUGAAUCUGGGUCACAGAUCACUUAACUGUCUCUGAGCCAUUGUUCUGGUUCAGGUUUGUUCUUCCGGACAUCUGGCAGCCUGUUUCACUUGCUAGCACGCUCAAGUCCGUUCAUCUCUGGCCUGUUUAUGUUUGAGAGCAAUUGUUUUGCCCAGUAUAUCCACAGCAGAAAGCUUUGUCUCCUCCUUCAUACCUGGCCGUUUGAAAGGAGAGUAUCUUUACAAGCUUUUUACUCCUCCUCCUGCCAUCUUUCCAUGCGACCACCAGGGUGCCUAUGAGGCAAAUGCCAGGUCCUUAUCAGGCCGUAUUCCAGUCAUCAUCUGGUUCCUAACUCUGGAUCCCUGAACUCCACCUACUGUUUGGCUGUGGGUCUGCGUCUGUUUCCAUCUCUUGCUGGAUGAGGCCUCUCUGAUAACAAUUGGACUAGCCGCCAAUCUGGUCACAAAAGAUGGCUCGCUCAGGCUUCAGGUUUUUCUAGGAAGAGCAUGAAGUUGUCUGGGUCCCACUCGGAAACCUUUCGGUUCUUCUGACUUUUGCUCCAGACAUCUACUGAAGGAUUCUGCAGCAACCUCACUCUUUAAAAAACAAAAGAAGAAAGGAAGAAAGAGAUGUUAAAAGCAUGACUAGUAGCCCUACACGAUACUUCAGAAGCUCCUUCCCGGCAACUGAAACCUCUGAUUACUGGGCAUUUCAUAAGCACUUUUCUAGAUGGAUACCUGUGUUCACCGGCAUUUGCUCAAACACGUAUGCGAAAGUCAGUCCCAAGGGAAUCCUCUCGUGUAAUGUAAUAAAAUAUAUGCUUUGUAAUUCUA